GAGUAUUUUAGUAUUACGCGCGGUAAAAAUAACCAUUAUUUUUGAGCCGAAAGUGGUUGUUUUUACCGCGCGUAAUACUAAAAUACUC